AUUGAACGCUGGCGGCAUGCCUUACACAUGCAAGCCGAACGGCAGCACGGGAGUAAUCCUGGUGGCGAGUGGCGAACGGGUGAGUAAUAUAUCGGAACGUGCCCAGUCGUGGGGGAUAACGCAGCGAAAGCUGUGCUAAUACCGCAUACGAUCUAAGGAUGAAAGCGGGGGAUCGCAAGACCUCGCGCGAUUGGAGCGGCCGAUAUCAGAUUAGCUAGUUGGUGGGGUAAAGGCCCACCAAGGCGACGAUCUGUAGCUGGUCUGAGAGGACGACCAGACACACUGGAACUGAGACACGGGCCAGACUCCUACGGGAGGCAGCAGUGGGGAAUUUUGGACAAUGGGCGCAAGCCUGAUCCAGCAAUGCCGCGUGCAGGAUGAAGGCCUUCGGGUUGUAAACUGCUUUUGUACGGAACGAAACGGCCCUUUCCAAUACAGGGGGCUAAUGACGGUACCGUAAGAAUAAGCACCGGCUAACUACGUGCCAGCAGCCGCCGUAAUAC
rnacentral:rRNA from 1 species